rnacentral:rRNA from 1 species
UACAGAGACUGCAAGCGUUAUUCGGAUUCACUGGGCGUAAAGGGUGCGCAGGCGGCCGUGUGUGUGAGGCGUGAAAGCCCGGAGCUCAACUCCGGAAUUGCACCUCAAACUACACGGCUAGAGCAUUGGAGAGGGUAGCAGAAUUCACGGUGUAGCAGUGAAAUGCGUAGAUAUCGUGAGGAAUACCAGAGGCGAAGGCGGCUACCUGGACAAUUGCUGACGCUCAGGCACGAAAGCGUGGGGAGCAAAAGGG